GAUAGGGUUUGGAAUGGUGAAGUAAUUGAGAGUUUACUUCUGCAUCAGGGGCUCUGUGGGGUCAUAUGAUAUUUGCUAGAUUAUUCAUAUAAAACAUUCUCACCACAGAUACUUAAAUACUUCUCAAGAACAUGGAAGCUUUUCAAAGCAAAACUCAAGAGAUAAGAUAAGUUGGGAAACGCUAAACAGGCAGUAUGUGUGGGUUAGAUCCUGAAUAUUUCUUCAAUUCAUCUUUAUUUUGAGUUCUCUCAAGAAAAUUCUGAACUCGCUAAGAAAACACACAGAUGAUAUUAUUCUCUUCUUCACACAAACAUCUGUGGUUAAAAAAUCAAAAGUGACCCUUCAAAAUGGCUGAAACAUGGAUUCCCAAUACGGAAGUUGCAAUAAAAGGGAAAAAAAUGAUUCUGAGGGAAUAGGUGAAGCGGAGGAUGAAUAAAAAACAG